rnacentral:tRNA from 1 species
UCGGCCGUGGUGUAAUUGGCAGCACAGCGCCCUUUGGAGGCGUUUGUCAAGGUUCGAGUCCUUGCGGCCGAGC